rnacentral:lncRNA from 1 species
GUUUGGCUAUGAGUUGCAUGCAUCUAGUGCACAGGUGCAUGUGAGAGAGAAAAAGUGAAGGAUUGUCUUCUUUGUGAGUUUAUAGAAGACGAGAGAAGAGUAAAAGAGAUUCAGAAAAACGGCUUGAGUUGUAGUUACUCAGUUGCAGAAGAGGAGUCAUGUAUUUGUUUUUUUUUUUCUUUCGUGAUUGUAUCAGUUUUUGCUGAAGAGAUGGAUUUAUGAUAAAAACCCGAUUUGAUGCUUCCGUUGCGGAAUCCUAACAAUCAGUACCAGAUCCACAGCAGUCGGUAUCGGAGCGAGUUGCAGACUCUCAAAAUCUAGUACCG